rnacentral:rRNA from 1 species
GAUGAACGCUGGCGGCGUGCUUAACACAUGCAAGUCGAACGAAGCACUUUAUUUGAUUUCCUUCGGGACUGAUUAUUUUGUGACUGAGUGGCGGACGGGUGAGUAACGCGUGGGUAACCUGCCUUGUACAGGGGGAUAACAGUUGGAAACGGCUGCUAAUACCGCAUAAGCGCACGGCAUCGCAUGAUGCAGUGUGAAAAACUCCGGUGGUAUAAGAUGGACCCGCGUUGGAUUAGCUAGUUGGUGAGGUAACGGCCCACCAAGGCGACGAUCCAUAGCCGACCUGAGAGGGUGACCGGCCACAUUGGGACUGAGACACGGCCCAAACUCCUACGGGAGGCAGCAGUGGGGAAUAUUGCACAAUGGGCGAAAGCCUGAUGCAGCGACGCCGCGUGAGCGAAGAAGUAUUUCGGUAUGUAAAGCUCUAUCGGCAGGGAAGAUAAUGACGGU